UCAAUGGUUUUUCUAAAGGAAAAAACCAGUAGACCAAAACCACCAAUAAUGAAAAAAAGGUCAAAG